GAAAGUUUGUUUUUUUAUUGGACGAAAUAAAAUUGUUUUAAUCGAAACUUUCAUAUUAGGUUAAUUAUAUUAGAUACCAGUUAACUGAGUUACUGGAAUUACAGAAGAUUUUAUCAAAAAAGAAAUGAAGCGAGUAGAAGGGUUUGAUACAGACUGGGUUAAAUUUCAAAUCAAUAUAACAAGACUGAUUGGCAAGGAAACAGUUUUCGUUGUUGAUUUACAUCGUUUUUGUUUAACCAAUCAUUUAAUAAUCAUUUUUUUGGUAAAUAUAAUUUUGGUAAUGUUAUUGGUUCUACUUUUUUUGAAACUUUUGGCUAAUAAAGCAGAUAAGUUGAAAAAUCUACGGCAAAGGCAUAUGGCAGAAUUUUUAUUUUUAUUUUUAAAUACAUUAUGGGUUUUGUUCUACUGUUUGUUAAUUACCGACACUUUAUUUUGGUUGUUUUCUUCAUCUUGCUUUAAAACAAGUUCAAGAACUUUGAUAUCGUAUCACCUUUUCGCUAUCUUUGCGUAUCACAUGAUUGAUUUUUUUGAGAACUCGUAUAUAAAGAAGAAAUGUUGCGUUUUUGAUAUAAGCAACCUGCAAGAGGAAAAAAAGACAGUAAUUGUAGUCGAUACUUUGUAAAACUACAAACUAUAAAUCAUAAAGUAAAAAUGUCACAAAACUUGUAAUAAACAAAAUCGCAAUUUAAUGCAAAUAAAUAAUAUAAUAAAUCCAACUCUUAAAAUACUUUAUAAUG